UACGUAGGGGGCAAGCGUUGUCCGGAUUUAUUGGGCGUAAAGAGCGUGUAGGCGGCCAUGCAGGUCCGUUGUGAAAACUGGAGGCCUAACCUCCAGACGUCGAUGGAAACCGUAUGGCUAGAGUCCGGAAGAGGAGAGUGGAAUUCCUGGUGUAGCGGUGAAAUGCGCAGAUAUCAGGAAGAACACCCGUGGCGAAGGCGGCUCUCUGGGACGGUACUGACGCUGAGACGCGAAAGCGUGGGGAGCGAACAGG
rnacentral:rRNA from 1 species